UAUGUACUCUCUUCGUCCCAAAAUUCUUGUCUUAGAUUUGUCCAGAUAUGAAUGUAUAUAGUCACGUUUUAGUAUUUAGAUACAUCCAUUUUUAGAUAAACUUAAGACAAUAAUUUUGGGACGGAAAGAGUAGUUU
rnacentral:pre_miRNA from 1 species